rnacentral:rRNA from 1 species
AUUGAACGCUGGCGGCAGGCUUAACACAUGCAAGUCGAACGAGUGGCGGACGGGUGAGUAAUGCUUGGGCAUCUAGCUUAUGGAGGGGGAUAGCUACGGGAAACUGUAGCUAAUACCGCGUACCAUAGGAUGAGCCCAAGUGGGAUUAGGUAGUUGGUGAGGUAAAGGAUCACCAAGCCGACGUUCUCUAGGUGGUCUGAGAGGAUGACCAGCCAAACUGGGACUUAGACACGGCGCAGACGCCUACGAGAGGCAGCAGGGGGGAAUAUUGCGCAAUGGGGGCAACCUGACGCAGCCAGGCCGCGUGAAUGAAGAAGGCCUUCGGGUUUUAAAGUUCUUUCGGUAGCGAGGCGGUAACUACAGAAGAAGCACCGGCUAACUCCGUGCCAGCAGCCGCGGUAAUUC